AAAUGCAGAUGCGCCAAUUUUAAAAAGUAAACAUCGCUUUUUACUUUUGCAUCAAUUAAUUUCAAAUCGGUUCGUAAAAUCGAUUCGUUUCAAAGAAAAAACAAAAACAAAUGAAGAGACACUAUUAAAUUUAAAUCUUGUGUUCUAUAAUCAGUCGACUAAUGGGUUCAAAAUGUUCUUUACAACUAGAAGAAAGUGAUAUAGACGAAAUUCAAAAAGAAACUGGAUUUACUGCAAAUCAAAUCAAGCGGUUGUAUAGCAGAUUCUGCAAUCUUGAUAAGGGAAACAAAGCUUUUUUAAGCCGAGAUGAUUUUAAGCGUAUUCCUGAGUUAGCAAUUAAUCCAUUGGGUGAACGUAUUAUUGAGCUUUUUUUUGGUGAAAAUCAUGCAACUGAAAUUGGUGGUGAGGAUGGUAUCAAUUUUAAAGCUUUUAUGAGAGCUCUUGCUCGUUUUCGAUCAAUCUCAUCACACAAUCAUAAUCCGCUAAACACAAGAGAACAUAAGUUAGAAUACGCGUUUCAAAUGUAUGAUAUUCAUAGAACUGGAGGAAUUACUAAAGACAAUAUUACUCAUAUAUUAAAACUGAUGGUUGGCGCUAAUAAAUCUUCUGAUCAGUUGACAGCAAUUGCUGAUAGAAUAUUGCAAGAAGCAGGGAAUAACGAUGGAGUUAUUACUUUUGAAGAAUUCUCCAAGAUUAUGUUGAAAACGGAUUUUCAUACAAAAAUGAGCAUCAGAUUUUUAGCAAAAUAAAAUGUAAUAAUCAAUCAGCAGUUUUUAUAAUAAUUGUAUAUUAUUUGAGAAAACAUUUCUUUGUUA